ensembl:lncRNA
AGAGCUUGUAACACUCCAAAAAGAAAGGAAAAAUUUUAAUUGCCUCAUAUGACCCUUUAAUCAAAUCUCACUGGUUCUGGUGAAAGCUCAAACAUGCUUGUGUAACACGUGAGAACAACCCUUACAAAAAAAUAAAAAAUAAAAAUGGAAUAUGCUUUAAUAUAUACAUGUAUCAUGUAUUACUAUAUACUGAGAUGUCACAAUUCAUAUUUUCCUCAUAACUGUGUACAUGUAUUACACAUAUAUAUUCAUAUAGUAUGCAUAUGUUCAAAUAUAUUUAUACACACAAAGUAUUGUCACAAGUUCACCAGCUACUGUCAUCAUGCCUGUUACAAGACCAGUCACCUCAGCACACUACAUUUCCCAGAAUCCUCCCUGGCUCACACCUGCUCACAGUCCACACUCAUUGCACCUGUCUGCCUUUAGCUUCAUCGGUGGGUCUUUAUAAGCCAGCAUCAAGCGCUGACACAUUUUUUUUGGUCUCCUCUUUGCUGACUGAAAGUUGCACUUACCCUUUGUUCUCAUCUCAGCUCACUUACCUGGACUCUAUGCAGUCUACAGCUGAGUUCCAGAUCUGUUCAAGAUGCUCUCCUGCUGUCCUGCAAUGCUGAUCACCUGUUAAUAACCUGUUUAAUAAAGAACAUUGUAGUACAUACUUUACUGGAGUCUCUACCUGACUCACCUGCCUGUGGACUUGCCUGCAUUCCUGCAAAAGAGAGAACAAUACUUGUACCAGCCUAAGUUAAGUGAACUCUCAUUUGCUAGAAUGUUUGCUUACCUGUUGUCACCAAAUCUUUUUCACUUUGCUUUAAACUGUCAAUAAAAGACCACAAACUUACCUGUCUGUCUCCCAGAGGCCCUCUUCUGUAUCGUGACAUUUAUUUUAUCACACAUUUAUACAUUGAAGUGUAUUAUUGAAUAUAAAAUGACAUGCAUUACAUUGUAUAAGCAAGCAUAUUUUUUUCAGUAAAUGAAAAGCAUUCCAUAUGUAUUCAAUAUUGCAAUAUUAAUGUAAAUAUAUUUUCAUUGGGAAACCUCGUUAGUUCUCAGGUCAAGGAAACAUGUAGCUACUCCAUGUUUAUAUGUAAAUAAAGUUAAAACUAAAAUCUGUUCAUAUAAAGAAAUUGUAUCACUUUAGGAGACUUGCACUGUCUUUAUGAACUUUUUGAAAUACAAUUUUGAUAAAAUGGACUUUCAAUGGAGGGGCAUAAAUCUGUCAAUCUUAUUAAAUAUACCUUUAUUUGUGUUUGAAGAUUAAUGAAAGUCUUAGGUUUAAAAUGCUAUGAGAGUCAUUUAAUUUUUGUUUCAUAUGACCCUUAUAUCUCUGACAUGAAGCACACAACAAACUUGAUCAACACAUUAGCAUGUUUCUAAGCUCAUGACAUUAUAUUGUAAUUUCCUUUUUCCUUGACUUAGAAAAUAUCAUAGAUGUCACUGUUGGUUUAUUGUCAUUUCUGUUCUGUGUAACAAACAACAUGAUGUUUGUCAUGAAACAACAGUACAGAUGCUUAACAGCAGAAUAAAUGCAGGUUCACAAUAAUGCAGGUAAUAGAUACUGCAUGUGGACUCCAGUGUACAUGUCAGCACAUAUGUCCAUGAAUUAUUUUUAUCAUUGCAAAUAAAAUACAAAUGUACCUGAAUGAAAUGCUUCUAUCAAAUAUAAAAAGAUUCCAUUAUUCUGGCUUAAACAAAACACCAUAAGACCGAUUGAAUUCCUCAAAACAUGUCUGGGACACAAACACAUUUGAUGAUCUCUUAUCACAGAGGCUAAAAAGACUGCAUGCGUAUAUUCGGCUCUUUGAGGUUAUUAUGUGGGGGGAAAAAUAAAAAUAAAUCACUCCCUCAAUCUCUGUUCACUUCAUAGCUGGUGUGAUUGUGAGAACAGAGAGCUUAGAAAUGCAUUUAAGUCUCUGUCAGCUCUUAAAAUGUCUGUUUUUAUGUUUGUACACACUGGAUGUGUGAAUUCUUGUUUGUAACCAUGCUUAGCAUAAAUCAAGUUAAGUUUUAAUUGCCUCCAUAUUUUCGAGCCCCUACAUUUAUUCUCUUACAGAAAGCAAAAAAAAAAAAAUCCUGUCAAAUUCAACUUUUCUCAAGUUUAAGUGUUAGAGCAGAAGAGUUUACUCACAGUAGCCAUCUGGAUGCUGGUGUGCCCUUCUGUGCUAGCCACUGAAAAACUACCCUCCAGAAGCAGACACCAGACAUGAUACACCCACAAAACACCCUGCAGAUUCCAAACCAGACACAAUCUCAGCAUACAUAAAACUGACAGCUCUUCGCUCUCGUCAGAAGGAUUUGACACAUGAAAAGUCUUUAGAAAUAUGAAGGAUAACACUAUACUAUUCUUGAACUCUUGCAUUGCAAGACUGUGAUUCACUAUAACUGCCCACUAGUGGAUAAGUAGAGUAUAGCAUCAGUUUUAUUUUGUU